GUGGUUGGUGCCAUCCAGGGCAUUUCCCUUUUGUUAUAUGAAUUUUUAAUUUAUGCUGUUAAAUCACAUCAUCAAGGCACAGUCAGGUGGUACACUUUUAGCUAGUUAGAUUUGUUAUUUCUUGGCAGCACUGGAAGAACAUUUGAUAUGGGAGGAGAUUGAAAUUUUCUACCAAAAUGAGGUUUUUGGAUUUCCCAUGGAUAUCAGUCAGUCAUCAGAACUCAACAGUGUCCUUCCAGCCACCAGUUUUUUCUCCCGGAGUAGCUGGGGGAAGCAGUAUGAUGGCUUCCUCACUCAAGCAUUGGAUCAAGCAGAACAGCUUUUUAGAAGUGGACAUACAAACAACUGGGCGGUUUUGGUGUGCACAUCCAGAUUCUGGUUUAAUUACCGCCAUGUUGCCAACACUCUGUCUGUUUAUAGAGUGUCAAAAGAUUAGGCAUUCCUGA
rnacentral:lncRNA from 1 species